UACCAGCACCCCGAGUGGUCGGGACGUUUAUUGGGCGUAAAGCGCUCGCAGGUGGUCCGAUGCGUCGUGCGUGAAAGACCCCGGCUCAACUGGGGGGUGUCGUGCGAUACGGUCAGACUGGAGGCCAGUAGGGGGAUGCGGAAUUCCGGGUGUAGUGGUGGAAUGCGUAGAGAUCCGGAGGAACACCAGCGGCGAAGGCGGCAUCCUGGACUGGUCCUGACACUCAGGAGCGAAAGCGUGGGGAGCGAUCCGG
rnacentral:rRNA from 1 species